AUUGAACGCUGGCGGCAGGCCUAACACAUGCAAGUCGAGCGGAUGAAGGGAGCUUGCUCCUGGAUUCAGCGGCGGACGGGUGAGUAAUGCCUAGGAAUCUGCCUGGUAGUGGGGGAUAACGUCCGGAAACGGGCGCUAAUACCGCAUACGUCCUGAGGGAGAAAGUGGGGGAUCUUCGGACCUCACGCUAUCAGAUGAGCCUAGGUCGGAUUAGCUAGUUGGUGGGGUAAAGGCCUACCAAGGCGGCGAUCCGUAACUGGUCGGAGAGGAUGAUCAGUCACACUGGAACGGAGACACGGACCAGACUCCUACGGGAGGCAGCAGUGGGGAAUAUUGGGCAAUGGGCGAAAGCCUGAUCCAGCCAUGCCGCGUGUGUGAAGAAGGUCUUCGGAUUGUAAAGCACUUUAAGUUGGGAGGAAGGGCAGUAAGUUAAUACCUUGCUGUAUUGACGUUACCAACAGAAGAAGCACCGGCUAACUUCGUG
rnacentral:rRNA from 1 species